rnacentral:rRNA from 1 species
UAGGCGUAAAUGAUGCGAGUUAAGUGUGGGGCAUCUACGAGAUGGCCCUGUGCUGUAGGGUAGCCGUUAAACUCGCUGCCUGGGGAGUACGGUCGCAAGGCUGAAACUUAAAGGAAUUGGCGGGGGGAGCACCACAAGGGGUGGAGCUUGCGGUUUAAUUGGAUUCAACGCCGGAAAUCCUACCGGGACCGACAGCAACAUGAAGGCCAGGUUGAUGACCUUGCUUGACAAGCUGAGAGGUGGUGCAUGGCGUAGUCGUGU